rnacentral:rRNA from 1 species
UACGAAGGGGGGCUAGCGUUGCUCGGAAUCACUGGGCGUAAAGCGCACGUAGGCGGCUUCUUAAGUCGGUGGUGAAAUCCUGGAGCUCAACUCCAGAACUGCCUCGAUACUGGGAAGCUCGAGUCCGGGAGAGGUGAGUGGAACUGCGAGUGUAGAGGUGAAAUUCGUAGAUAUUCGCAAGAACACCCGUGGCGAAGGCGGCUCUCUGGGACGGUACUGGACGCUGAGGCACGAGGCCAGGGGAGCGAAACGGGAUAGAAACCCU